rnacentral:rRNA from 1 species
GAAUAUUGGACAAUGGGGGCAACCCUGAUCCAGCCAUGCCGCGUGGGUGAAGAAGGCCUUCGGGUUGUAAAGCCCUUUCGGCGGGAAAGAAAUGGUCCGUGCCAAUACCACGGACUGAUGACGGUACCCGCCGAAGAAGCACCGGCCAACUACGUGCCAGCAGCCGCGGGAAUCCGUCGGGUGCGAGCGUUAAUCGGAAUUACUGGGCGUAAAGCGUGCGCAGGCGGCCUUUUAAGCCAGAUGUGAAAUCCCCGGGCUUAACCUGGGAAUUGCAUUUGGGACUGGAAGGCUGGAGUGUGGCAGAGGGGGGUGGAAUUUCCGGUGUAGCAGUGAAAUGCGUAGAUAUCGGAAGGAACACCGAUGGCGAAGGCAGCCCCCUGGGCUAACACUGACGCUCAGGCACGAAAGCGUGGGGAGCAAACAGG